CGGGACACGUGGUAUCCUGUCUGAAUAUGGGGGGACCAUCCUCCAAGGCUAAAUACUCCUGACUGACCGAUAGUGAACCAGUACCGUGAGGGAAAGGCGAAAAGAACCCCGGCGAGGGGAGUGAAAAAGAACCUGAAACCGUGUACGUACAAGCAGUGGGAGCACAGAGCAAUCUGUGUGACUGCGUACCUUUUGUAUAAUGGGUCAGCGACUUAUAUUCUGUAGCAAGGUUAACCGAAUAGGGGAGCCGAAGGGAAACCGAGUCUUAACUGGGCGUUAAGUUGCAGGGUAUAGACCCGAAACCCGGUGAUCUAGCCAUGGGCAGGUUGAAGGUUGGGUAACACUAACUGGAGGACCGAACCGACUAAUGUUGAAAAAUUAGCGGAUGACUUGUGGCUGGGGGUGAAAGGCCAAUCAAACCGGGAGAUAGCUGGUUCUCCCCGAAAGCUAUUUAGGUAGCGCCUCGUGAAUUCAUCUCCGGGGGUAGAGCACUGUUUCGGCAAGGGGGUCAUCCCGACUUACCAACCCGAUGCAAACUGCGAAUACCGGAGAAUGUUAUCACGGGAGACACACGGCGGGUGCUAACGUCCGUCGUGAAGAGGGAAACAACCCAGACCGCCAGCUAAGGUCCCAAAGUCAUGGUUAAGUGGGAAACGAUGUGGGAAGGCCCAGACAGCCAGGAUGUUGGCUUAGAAGCAGCCAUCAUUUAAAGAAAGCGUAAUAGCUCACUGGUCGAGUCGGCCUGCGCGGAAGAUGUAACGGGGCUAAACCAUGCACCGAAGCUGCGGCAGCGACGCUUAUGCGUUGUUGGGUAGGGGAGCGUUCUGUAAGCCUUUGAAGGUGUACUGUGAGGUAUGCUGGAGGUAUCAGAAGUGCGAAUGCUGACAUAAGUAACGAUAAAGCGGGUGAAAAGCCCGCUCGCCGGAAGACCAAGGGUUCCUGUCCAACGUUAAUCGGGGCAGGGUGAGUCGACCCCUA
rnacentral:rRNA from 1 species